GCGCAUGUGGUGGAAUGGUAUACACGCUAGUUUCAAAAACCAGUACCGCAAGGUUUGAGGGUUCGACUCCCUCCAUGCGCA
rnacentral:tRNA from 1 species